CCUACGGGAGGCAGCAGUAGGGAAUUUUCCGCAAUGGGCGAAAGCCUGACGGAGCAAUACCGCGUGAGGGAUGACGGCCUGUGGGUUGUAAACCUCUUUUCUCAAGGAAGAAGUUCUGACGGUACUUGAGGAAUAAGCAUCGGCUAACUCUGUGCCAGCAGCCGCGGUAAUACAGAGGAUGCAAGCGUUAUCCGGAAUCACUGGGCAUAAAGCGUCUGUAGGUUGUUUAGUAAGUCUGCUGUUAAAGACUGGGGCUUAACCCCAGAAAAGCAGUGGAAACUGCUAGACUCGAGUGUGGUAGAGGUAGAGGGAAUUCCUAGUGUAGCGGUGAAAUGCGUAGAUAUUAGGAAGAACACCAAUGGCGAAGGCACUCUACUGGGCCAUAACUGACACUGAGAGACGACAGCUAGGGGAGCAAACGGGAUUAGAUACCCCGGUAGUCCUAGCCGUAAACGAUGGAUACUAGAUGUUGCACGUAUUAACCCGUGCAGUAUCGUAGCUAAGGCGUUAAGUAUCCCGCCUGGGAAGUACGCUCGCAAGAGUGAAACCUUAAAGGAAUUGACCGGNNGAGAGNGCGACGACGACGACGAGGAGAGG
rnacentral:rRNA from 1 species